GUAUCCCUUGGGAUGGGGAGGGUCUGUAACCUGUGUUCUAUCCCUCCCCAGUGAAAGUGGACAAAGACCGGCAGAUGGUGGUGCUAGAAGACGAAUUCCAGAAUGUUUCCCCAGAGGAACUUAAGUUGGAGUUGCCAGAGAGACAGCCCAGGUUCGUGGUCUAUAGCUAUAAGUACGUGCAUGACGACGGCAGGGUGUCCUACCCUUUGUGUUUCAUCUUCUCCAGCCCCGUGGGCUGCAAGCCUGAACAACAGAUGAUGUACGCGGGAAGUAAAAACAGGCUGGUGCAGAUCGCGGAGCUUACAAAGGUGUUUGAAAUCCGCACCACAGACGACCUCACCGAGACCUGGCUUAAGGAAAAGUUAGCUUUCUUUCGUUGACGUUUGAGCCAGGGAUUUGGAAUCUUUACUUCGGAAGACUCAGACUGAUAGGAUAUGAACAUCCAAGAGCUAAAUAAAGAUUAAAAUUUCAGGAAUGUU
rnacentral:lncRNA from 1 species